UUUCAGGUCUUUUAAACCUAGAACUAUACAUUCCCAAACCUUGUGAGAGGAAAAGCUCAAGCAGUGUAAUCUAAAUUUUUAUUUGUGAAAAUGAAAAAAGUUACUAGCAGAGGAAUGUUGUCUAAAUUGCUAUGGAAUAGUGUAUAGAUACAUAAUUACAACCUUUUGGAUUCUUAUGUAACAUAGAAAAGGAGAAGCCAAAAUUUAGCAGUUGUCACUCUGGAAAGUGCCAUGUUUCACAGAACUAGAAGGUGGAUGGUCAGAAUGCUUAGCAGAAACCUUUAACAUUUCUUUAAAGUUUCCUGAAAUAUUUAUUAAACGUUUUACAUUUAAGAAAGAGCAGAAUUGAUCCAUGAACGGAGAGAUCAGAUCAAAUACUUUACAGCAAACCUAAUUGUCAACAAUCUUUGGGGUUUUAUCCUAGCUUAACUAGAAUUGCUCCUAAACUAGAAUUGCUUAACUAGAAUUGGAUUUUUUUUUCGCAAAUCAGAAUACUGGAAUCACGUUGGAAUGUGAUAAUUUCCUGACUGAGCUAGAAGCACAUGGUUUGCAGAACAUUGUAUACAAUAAAUACAUGCCCCGCCUGAGAGAGGAUUGGAUAUUACAAACAAACUUUACCAAAGCAGAGUCAAAGCUUUGAGGAGAGAUCUUCAGUUCCCUGUGAGGCUUCAGUGAUGCUCUUCUCUAAAUUAUAUCUGUUCUUAAUUUUUAAUAUUAUCACCUAGCACAUCAGAGAAUUUUCAGUUCUCCAUACAACACAGGAAGACUCUGUUUUUCUCCUGGCUGGAUAGAGCAGAAAUGAAGUCCCCAGUUAGGAACUGAGAUCAGACGGUGAACAACAAAGAGCCCUGAGGUCUAUCUUAUGGAAUUGUGACAGCCUGCCCAGGAUAGCACUCUUGGCCACAACAAAGAUCUUGAUGCAAUUCUUAAGGCCAUCUUUUCAGGGCUAUUCUUGUGAUUUGAGCUCAGGGAUGGGAAAUUCAAGUUUGGAAAAAUAGAAGACUAUGAAAGUUGGUCAGUCUGUUUUUGUUUUAUUGGGAUAUUUAAUCCCUUAACACU
rnacentral:lncRNA from 12 species